CCCUGUCAUCCAAUCGCCUUCCAAAAGCCCCGCCUCUGAGCGCAUGAGAAGUCCGCGUCAUGUUCUAGCUCUAAACCAUGACACAGGUGUUGCCUGCUGCCAUCGCCACACCACUAUGCAGUUAUAUGAUGAACCCUCUUUAAGUUGGUAAGGAAGUUGACCCUGAGACGCCAGGUUUGAAUGACUGGGAGAGCAACACCGCAGCUUGAUAUGGUAAACUUAAUGGCUGACUGAAGACUUGAAAGGCAGCAGGAUCCUGACAGUUGUAGGAAUGCAGAUGUAGGUGGAAACUCUCUCCUGGGGCUUCAGCUGAGGACAUGCAAGAUCACCUGGCAGCCAGCAAACUCCAGACUCAUGAAGAUCCUCAGGCAAGAAGAGCAGAGCCAGUUACCUGCAUCCAACACACAAAAGACAGAAGCUUGCUGGCACAGGUCCUUGGGAUGCUGGAGGAGAAGGUGGUGCAGAAUCCAUGCCUGUCCCCUAGAUCCUUUGAUAAUACGGCCUACUCUGGUCUGAAUCUACUCAUCUGGCCACUAAGAUUUCACUCAAAAGCAGUCAUUUAGGCUCCAAGUACUUCAAGUCUCCUGCCAUAUACUUCUAAUUAAAGGAAUGCUCU